AGAGCGAACGCUGGCGGCAGGCUUAACACAUGCAAGUCGAGCGGGCGUAGCAAUACGUCAGCGGCAGACGGGUGAGUAACGCGUGGGAACGUACCUUUUGGUUCGGAACAACCCAGGGAAACUUGGGCUAAUACCGGAUAAGCCCUUACGGGGAAAGAUUUAUCGCCGAAAGAUCGGCCCGCGUCUGAUUAGCUAGUUGGUGAGGUAAUGGCUCACCAAGGCGACGAUCAGUAGCUGGUCUGAGAGGAUGAUCAGCCACAUUGGGACUGAGACACGGCCCAAACUCCUACGGGAGGCAGCAGUGGGGAAUAUUGGACAAUGGGCGCAAGCCUGAUCCAGCCAUGCCGCGUGAGUGAUGAAGGCCCUAGGGUUGUAAAGCUCUUUUGUGCGGGAAGAUAAUGACGGUACCGCAAGAAUAAGCCCCGGCUAACUUCGUGCCAGCAGCCGC
rnacentral:rRNA from 1 species